rnacentral:rRNA from 1 species
UACGGAGGGUGCAAGCGUUGUCCGGAUUUAUUGGGUUUAAAGGGCGCGUAGGCGGGCCAGCCAGUCUGUGGUGAAAGCCUCCAGCUUAACUGGAGAAGUGCCGUGGAUACUGCUGGCCUCGAGGAGGAUAGGGGCAUCUGGAACGGUCGGUGGAGCGGUGAAAUGCGUUGAUAUCGACCGGAACUCCGGUGGCGAAGGCGAGGUGCUGGGUCCUUUCUGACGCUGAUGCGCGAAAGCCAGGGGAGCAAACGGG